rfam:Chryseobacterium sp. MOF25P AB670_contig000268, whole genome shotgun sequence.
UUGCAGCCCGACCUGAGUGGAAAUCCUUUUUUGCUGCUGGAAAAACGAGGGCAAAAAAGAUUGGGAACGGAGGGCGGAAUAGCU